CAGGUCUCACUGGUUUGGAAACAAAUUCAGAGAAAAUGAUGAGGCUCAGUUCUCAGAAAGAAUGGUCAGUGGGAGGAUUUAUAAGGACUGAGUCUGCGUUUCCUCCACACUUCCCUUCUGUCCGUCUGCUGAGGUCUACCACGUCUCACAAACUUUUGACACCAUGACUACAAUCUUUGAGGCAAUUGCAAUUCUCAGGAAGAUUUUUGACAAGUAUGCUGGGAAAGAGGGAGAUGCAAAGACUCUGACAAAGAAGGAAAUCACUACACUGCUGAAAGAGCAGCUUGGAGGAGAUCCUGGAGACCAAGCUGAAAUUGCCCAGUUUUUCGAAAUGCUGGAUGCUGAUGGCGAUGGAGUCGUAGAGUUCUCUGAAUAUGCUGCUCUAGUCGCGAGCUUGGCUAUGAUAUUGGCCCCCUGAAGGAAAGAACUGCCUGGUUUAUCUCAUUUCAAAUGAGCAUUUGAAUAAUAAAAUCAACAUCCAAGCACUA